AUGUUCUAAAAACCUAAAUUCCCACAUUCGUGUCUCUAUUUUUCCAUUUUUCUGCCGUCAUCUACUAAAACCCUAAUGGAUCCUUCACUGCUACUUGAACCACUCCAUACAAACUGUAGAGAGUGAAAGUAACAAUUUGUAGUGAGAGAAAUUCCAGAUAUCGAACUCCGGCGAAAAUCCGAAUCUCCUGCGAACCGGAUCUGAGUUAUGGUGAAAAUCCGAAUCUCCAGGUGGUGGUUUAAUGCCACAACGAAAGGUCGACGACUAGGGUUCCAGCAGCACAUAAAUCUCACCAGUUGUGGUUUCAGCCAGUAUCGUUAAAAAGCUUAAUACUGGAGCUCAUGAGUUGGUCAUGGAGGGAUAUAAUUGUAGAUGCAAGGAUGGAGUACGCAAAAUUUCUCCAAGAAAUGGAUAAAGAAGUUCAAAACUCACGACAUAUAAAAGAGAACAACAAAAGAUCUUGAUGAAUUUAUGAACAAGGUUAGGCGUUGUGCAAGUGUUUCCAAUGAUGAAAUUCGGGGAUCUAUCAAGUUGUUCAAUGAUGAGCUCACCUUGGAUAACAUCAGUAGACCUCUGUUUGUGAAUAUGUGCAAAUAUAAUGCCAUCGGCCUAUUUGGAACAGAUGCAUACGUGCGUUAUAUGCUUCGUAAGAGGCUGCAAGAGUAAGUUACCAUAAUACCAUAUCCAUAUCCUAGAUUUUUUGUUUAAAAAUUGACUGGUGAAACUAGGACCCUUGGCUGUAUUACAACGCAUGGGAAAGCUUAUAUCUUCAUUAAAGUGUAAGUUUCCAAUGCAUUUUGUGUUAAUAUCGUAUGUUUUCGGUUUACUUUGAGUGCUUUCGUGAUAAUGGGACUCCCACUUUUCAAUAUUCUUAUGUUUUUUUGACCGUUUUGUAUUUGUUACAUAUGCUGGUGGUCUAAAAUUUAUAUUUAUUAUAUGUUUUCUGACCGUUUUUUCUUUUGUUUUGGUGAAAGUUCUAUCAAGAUCCAAAACAAUACGUUGAAGGAACAUGGAAGGAUGGAGGUCAAGUUAUAAUGGGUUUGAGUAAACAUAAACUAUAAUUAACAAAUAUGCAAGAUGCUUAGAAACGGAAUGAAAAGUAAAAAUCCAAAUUAAACAGUAAUACAAUACUUUUUAAUUUUUUUCCUCUCUUGUGCAACUAUUAAAACACCUGCAAUAGAGGUUUUUAAACUCCAUGGAUGCCCAUGUGACAUUCAUGGGUGGAGAAGCCACAGAUGCCUCAUUGCAUGGGUAUGUCCAUGGUUGUUUUUGGGAUCAGAUGUCCGUGUGUGGCUCUUUUGGUUUUUUCCAUUGAAUUUUUUCAUUUAAAAAAUAAAAUGAAGCUAUGGAAACAGGGUUGGCAAGCGAAUCUGAACAUAAUGGCAAAACCGAAAUCCGAAACAUUCGGGACUGGUAAUGGAAUGGGUAUUCAGGCAUAGGAUUGGUUUAAAAAAAAUUCACGGGCAUAGGAGAGGUAUGAAAUAUGGCGAUAGCAGAACUGGUACGUGAAAACAUAUACCCGUUUACCUGAACCAUAUAUUCGAAAAUAUAACUGAACAUAUCUACUCAUUGGUUUUGUUACACUUUUAUAUUGGAAGGACAAUACACCCGAGUUUUUUGUUCCAGAAAAAAAAAAUAAUAGUCUUAUCCUUCUGAUGGUCGGGGGUUGGGUCGCUGAAUAUGCUUUUCACUAUGCUAAAGCUAAGGGUAGAGAUAGAGUAUCUGCUAUACACAAAGCUAACAUUAUGCAGAAUACAGGUGAUCUUUUUUUGAAGGUUUUAAUUUAUUAUAUUUUGAGAUGUUAUAGAUUGGCAAAGAUCUUAUUAUGUUUGAUUAUGCUAAAUUGCUAUUUUUAAUAGUGUUGUUGGGAGGUUGCUGAGAAGUACCCUGAUAUAAAAUAUGAGAAAGUUAUCAUUGACAAUUGUUGUAUGAUGGUACAUCCUUUAUCUAAAUAAGAAUAUUACUAGAGUCAUUAUU